rnacentral:rRNA from 1 species
GUCGAACGAUGAAGCCCUUCGGGGUGGAUUAGUGGCGAACGGGUGAGUAACACGUGGGCAAUCUGCCCUUCACUCUGGGACAAGCCCUGGAAACGGGGUCUAAUACCGGAUAACACUCCUGCCUGCAUGGGCGGGGGUUAAAAGCUCCGGCGGUGAAGGAUGAGCCCGCGGCCUAUCAGCUUGUUGGUGGGGUAAUGGCCCACCAAGGCGACGACGGGUAGCCGGCCUGAGAGGGCGACCGGCCACACUGGGACUGAGACACGGCCCAGACUCCUACGGGAGGCAGCAGUGGGGAAUAUUGCACAAUGGGCGAAAGCCUGAUGCAGCGACGCCGCGUGAGGGAUGACGGCCUUCGGGUUGUAAACCUCUUUCAGCAGGGAAGAAGCGAAAGUGACGGUACCUGCAGAAGAAGCGCCGGCUAACUACGUGCCAGCAGCCGCGGUAAUACGUAGGGCGCAAGCGUUGUCCGGAAUUAUUGGGCGUAAAGAGCUCGUAGGCGGCUUGUCACGUCGGAUGUGAAAGCCCGAGGCUUAACCUCGGGUCUGCAUUCGAUACGGGCUAGCUAGAGUGUGGUAGGGGAGAUCGGAAUUCCUGGUGUAGCGGUGAAAUGCGCAGAUAUCAGGAGGAACACCGGUGGCGAAGGCGGAUCUCUGGGCCAUUACUGACGCUGAGGAGCGAAAGCGUGGGGAGCGAACAGGAUUAGAUACCCUGGUAGUCCACGCCGUAAACGUUGGGAACUAGGUGUUGGCGACAUUCCACGUCGUCGGUGCCGCAGCUAACGCAUUAAGUUCCCCGCCUGGGGAGUACGGCCGCAAGGCUAA